CAAAAUACCCCUUCACAUUGUACCACACUUAUAUCUUGCCCUAAGUUCUUCGCUGAGUUCCCCUGUCGCCGCGUUUCCUCCGCUUGGCAUCCGUCGCGUGGUCGUCUGCCGUCACUUAUCAUAAUCCUGGUGUGCUCCACUACUAGCAGAAUGCCACGCUGCUCCUCCAUCGCAAUUCCCUUCGCCUCACUUUCGCUCGCAUUCGUCGUCGCCAUUCCCUUCGCUUAUUCACUCGCGUUUGUCAUCGCCGUCCCUUUCGCUGGCAUCCCGUUGAUGCGCCGUCCCCAUUGAAUUUGAUGAUUUCAACAAGGAAAACAUGGAUAAACUAAGACAUGGAGUUUAUGAGCCUUUGGAUGUAAAUCUCUUCCCACCUCCGCAUCUAAUCUAUGCUGAAAAUCCUAGUGAUUCUGGGAAGGUUAGUCACAUGGAAUGAUUUAAUCGUCUGCUAUUAGUUUAUUAUGUUCCCUGCUUCCGGCUAUUAAUCACAUCCCUUAAUCUCUUUGGCAAAGAAUAGCCCUUACAAGAGGAUUACCAAUUAGUUAGCAUUUGAUUGAUCUAUAUAUAUAAGAUAAUUAAGUUGGGUGGCAACAUUAUAAAAGCCAUACUCUUACAAAUCUUGUAAUAAAAAAAAAGGACUUUCCACUUCAGAACUUGUCUCAUGAUUUUCUUUUCAUUUAUAAAUUUUAAGCUACAGUAGCAUGUAGGUUUAUAAUCAAGUGAGACAUAGGUGUAAUGAUAAAGAAUUUGAGAAGAAUAAACACUGUGAGCUUCCUUAGUAUUAGAGUGUAUAACACCCUAUUACACAGAGCUUUACGCUUAAGUCGUAGAACAUAAGUAGUGUGGUGUUACGGACCUCUAAUCAGAAAAUACAUACGUAUAAUAGUGAAAAAAUAUAAUAUACUAGGAGUCUUAAAAAAUAGGUAAAACAAAACCGCAAAAUAAAAAGCGCAACGCUCAGGAAACGGAAUUACUUGCAUGCUAAGAAACCUAAAGGUUAUAGAUAUGAUUAAGUGAAAGAGUGAAUAGAGAGCCAAGAAUAUAACAUAACUAGCCCCUGACUCAGCCUGCGAAGCCAAAGCUGGCCAGAGAAUAUUUACAAAUAUAUAUAACUAUCCCAAAAUACCCAGAAUACAGAAAUAAGGACCUAACUCUCCUUUAACCUCUAUGAGGGACAAAAUAAACAAGUUUCUUGGAGAGAAAGCUAAAUACAUAUUUAUAUACAUAAGCUACAUAGCAAAAGAACCCAAAAACUGCUCCGCUUCAAGAAUCCAAACGCCUAGUGAGGAGCCUCUCGACCUGCAUCUGAAAACAACAACACAGUAUGGGGUGAGAACCGGAGGCUCUCAGCAUAGUAAAGGUGCCACGCACAUAAUAUAUAAGGUCCUGGGAACGCCAGAGGCAAUCCUAGAACGCCGACACUCAGUUAUAAAGAUUAAUUCUAAACAGAAGCCAUAAAAAGGGUAGGUGUUCUAAGGAAUACUAAACUUACUUACUUAAUCCUAACUUUAUCACCAAAUCGAUCCACCUUUCCUCCGUUCCUCCAUCAUCAAUGAUUUAACAGAGACAAACAACCAACCAAUUCCAAGCACAAGUAGAAAAUAGGUAGUGCAGGUAGCAAAUAUAACAAAUAGCAUAAUAUAUAUUUAGGUAGGCAAUCCCAAGUAAGGCUUAGCAAACAAACAAACAAAAUGCAUAUGAUGAAUGUCUAUUCUAUUGGUCGUGAGCUCACGUGUCGGUUACUUUGCCAGAACCAGACACAUCUGGUAGCUAACCCAGACAUUAGUCUCUAGGUUACGCAUCUCCAGGAGGAUCAUAAACAAAGGAGAGUGCCUUUCUACCUUCUCCUGAAGGUUUCACGAAGGAGAGUGCCUUUCCACAUCGAAGGAGUGUGCCUUUCCACCUUGCAACCAGAGAAUAAUGUGGGGGAAAUAAUACGAAGGAGAGUGCCUUUCCACCUUCCCCACAUCUAUAUCACAACAAGAGAGGGAACUUCCUUCCUCAACUUGCCAUAUCGACCAUUUCAGCCACACACAAUCAUCCCCAAAUCUCAUCAUUUAUCAUCAUCAUUUCCUUACAUUCGUUCUUUAUAGCCAUAGCAACAUGUAUUCAUUUAGCUUUCACAUCAUUAUCUUAUAAUUCAUCAACGUUUACCCUUUUCUUCAUCCCCGAGUUACCUCAAUUUCCUAGUUUCAACUAAUUACUAAGCUUACUAAUAAGAUCUAGGGUUAAAAGAA